CCCGAGGACCGAGGCAGUGUGGCCUAGGCACCGGUCGAAGGAGGUGUGUCGUGGUGUGGCUCGGCAGACCUUGUGGAAAAAUUUCAGUGUCGCAGACUGUUCACGUGUUUUUACGAAAAGUUUCCCAUUUUUGGAAAAAAAUAUAUUCUAUGAAAACAAAUUACAGCAGAUGUUCGCUCGUUGUGGUGGUGGUUGUUGUGUGCGUAUGUGAUUCUGGUAAACUUUGAGAUAGAUAGUCUAGUGUGCUGGUGUGGAAUUAUUAUAAGAAUUAUAAUAUUUUGUGGCUGAUUGGUGGAAGCUUGAUGUAUAGUAUAUGUAUACCUUCUCAACUCUUCGGAAUUCACGGGCCAUUUAAUGAUAACGAAGUGAGACGCGUAUUUAUUUGGAUUUCAAAAGUUACUACUGCAGACCGUGGGCGCAUUGAAUAGUACUAAAGCGUCCAGGAGAUCCCAACCAACGUAUGGUCCUCAACAACGACUGGGGUGUUCGCCCGCCCGUGAGUCCUCUGCCAUGGUAACCGUGAGCCCGGCGGUGCCGGUCGCCAGCUCCGUCGUCGGCUUUGGGCUCUGUUGACGAGUCCGCCGCCCAGCCACACCCGCCACACACGCCCGUAGUGCCUACGACUCCCCUCCCUCCACACUUUACCCCCUCCUCCCCCUCCUCUUGCUACUACUCCUCCUUCUCCUCCUCUAGCGCUUCCGAAAGGAAGGAAGGAAGGAACAGAAGGCUCUCUGAAAGAGAGAGAGAGAGGAGGA